rnacentral:rRNA from 1 species
GCAGUCGCUACGAGAGUUUUUACUCAAGUGGCGGACGGGUGAGUAACACGUGAGAAUCUGCCUUUAGGAGGGGGAUAACAACUGGAAACGGUUGCUAAUACCCCAUAUGCUUUCGAGUGAAAUGGAUUUAUCCGCCUAAAGAGGAGCUCGCGGCUGAUUAGCUUGUUGGUAGGGUAAUGGCCUACCAAGGCGACGAUCAGUAUCUGGUUUGAGAGGAUGAUCAGACACACUGGAACUGAGACACGGUCCAGACUCCUACGGGAGGCAGCAGUGGGGAAUUUUCCGCAAUGGGCGAAAGCCUGACGGAGCAAUACCGCGUGAGGGAAGACGGCCUAUGGGUUGUAAACCUCUUUUCUCAGGGAGGAACUCAAUGACGUGUACCUGAGGAAUAAGCAUCGGCUAACUCCGUGCCAGCAGCCGCGGUAAGACGGAGGAUGCAAGUGUUAUCCGGAAUCACUGGGCGUAAAGCGUCUGUAGGUGGUUUAAUAAGUCAACUGUUAAAUCUUGAGGCUCAACUUCAAAAUCGCAGUCGAAACUAUUAGACUAGAGUAUAGUAGGGGUAAAGGGAAUUUCCAGUGGAGCGGUGAAAUGCGUAGAGAUUGGAAAGAACACCGAUGGCGAAGGCACUUUACUGGGCUAUUACUAACACUCAGAGACGAAAGCUAGGGUAGCAAAUGGGAUUAGAUACCCCAGUAGUCCUAGCUGUAAACAAUGGAUACUAGAUGUUGAACAGAUCGACCUGUGCAGUAUUAAAGCUAACGCGUUAAGUAUCCC